rnacentral:rRNA from 1 species
CCUACGGGAGGCAGCAGUGGGGAAUAUUGACAAUGGGGGGAACCCUGAUCCAGCCAUGCCGCGUGUGUGAAGAAGGCCCUCGGGUUGUAAAGCACUUUCAGUGAGGAAGAACGCCUGGUGGUUAAUACCCAUCAGGAAAGACAUCACUCACAGAAGAAGCACCGGCUAACUCCGUGCCAGCAGCCGCGGUAAUACGGAGGGUGCGAGCGUUAAUCGGAAUUACUGGGCGUAAAGCGCGCGUAGGUGGCUUGAUAAGCCGGUUGUGAAAGCCCCGGGCUCAACCUGGGAACGGCAUCCGGAACUGUCAAGCUAGAGUGCAGGAGAGGAAGGUAGAAUUCCCGGUGUAGCGGUGAAAUGCGUAGAGAUCGGGAGGAAUACCAGUGGCGAAGGCGGCCUUCUGGACUGACACUGACACUGAGGUGCGAAAGCGUGGGUAGCAAACAGGAUUAGAUACCCGGGUAGUC